rnacentral:sRNA from 1 species
AGGAGGCCAGAAGACGGCUGUCAAAGGGUCAGGAGCAGUCUGAUCAAAAGGAGGCCAUCCACUGUCCGGGGCCAUUCCCACAGCUCCCGGAUGCUGGGUCUGGAGGCUGCGCCCUUCCCCCACAGGAGCUCGGCCAGUGGUAAGUCAUCUGUGUGUCAUCUAUGUAUUUAACCCCUUAUGGCCAUGUUGAUGCUGAGCAUGGUUUCACUUUUGCAAACAUUUGUUUAUACCCUUCGAGAGAAAAACAUCUCAGCUGUCACAGGAAGCUGCUUCGGGGGGUGAGCAGACUUCUUAAACAUGCAGAAAUUAUGAUCUACACCCGUUUCUUAAAAGUAAGCCAUGGUACUUGGUUCUCUUUAAUUGUAUAUUUUCUUACGUAUUGUGUUCAUGUAGGCAAGUCCUGUUUCUGCUAAAAGAAGGUAAGUUCUACCAAGAUGGUGUCAUGCCAGCUUUAUUUCCCGUGGCACCUGGCACACUGCUAAGCACUUACAUGCUUAACAACUAGAUUGGGAAUGGUGCUGCUCUGGGGAAGUGGGCAAACAUUAAAGAAAUGUUUAUUUCAGUCUUCUGAAAUAGGGAAUUACUCUGGCUAAAAUGUAG